CCUGGUGGCGAGUGGCGGACGGGUGAGUAACGCGUAGGAAUCUACCCAGUAGCGGGGGAUAGCCCGGGGAAACCCGGAUUAAUACCGCAUACGCCCUACGGGGGAAAGCAGGGGAUCUUCGGACCCUGCGCUAUUGGAUGAGCCCAAGUCAGAUUAGCUAGUUGGUGAGGUAAUGGCUCACCAAGGCGACGAUCCAUAACUGGUCUGAGAGGAUGAUCAGUCACACUGGAACUGAGACACGGUCCAGACUCC
rnacentral:rRNA from 1 species